UGUGCAGGAGGCAAAGAGGGGUGCUGGGGUAUCAGCCAUUUUUGUGGCUCGUAAUAGAUUUGCUGUGCUUGACAAAAGUAGCAAUCAAGUCUUGGUCAAAAACCUGAAGAACGAAGUUGUUAAAAAAAGUGGUCUUCCCAUUGCUACUGAUGCAAUAUUCUAUGCUGGGACUGGUAACUUGCUUUGCAGAGCAGAGGAUAG
rnacentral:misc_RNA from 1 species